rnacentral:rRNA from 1 species
ACGCUGUAAACGAUGAAUACUAGGUGUGGGGGGACUGACCCCCUCCGUGCCGCAGUUAGCACAAUAAGUAUUCCACCUGGGGAGUACGGCCGCAAGGUUGAAACUCAAAGGAAUUGACGGGGGCCCGCACAAGCAGUGGAUUAUGUGGUUUAAUUCGAAGCAACGCGAAGAACCUUACCAGGGCUUGACAUGGGGAUGACCGGUGUAGAGAUACAUCUUUCUCUUCGGAGACAUCCCACACAGGUGGUGCAUGGUUGUCGUCAGCUCGUGUCGUGAGAUGUUGGGUUAAGUCCCGCAACGAGCGCGACCCCUAUUGUUAGUUGCUACGCAAGAGCACUCUAGCGAGACUGCCGUUGACAAAACGGAGGAAGGUGGGGACGACGUCAAAUCAUCAUGCCCCUUAUGUCCUGGGCUACACACGUAAUACAAUGGCGUCCAACAAAGGGAAGCAAAACCGCGAGGUAGAGCAAAUCCCCAAAAGACGUCUCAGUUCGGAUUGCAGGCUGCAACUCGCCUGUAUGAAGUCGGAAUUGCUAGUAAUCGUGGAUCAGCAUGCCACGGUGAAUACGUUCCCGGGCCUUGUACACACCGCCCGUCACACCAUGAGAGCCGGGAACACCCGAAGUCCGUAGUCUAACCGCAAGGAGGACGCGGCCGAAGGUGGGUUUGGUAAUUGGGGUG